CAGCUUCUGGGCUGGUGAUAGCCAGUUGUUCAAUUUUCAGGAAUUUGGUGAAUUGACUGAGAUCUUCCUGAUAGUUUCCAGUUGGCUACAGUGGGAAUUUUUACAUCGAGAAAACUGACCAUACUCCACCCAGGUGUGAAACACUCACCAGUGCAUCACUCCGCAGGGCGCCCCAGAAGGUGUGUUCUCUUUGUCCCAUGCUGACAUGCCCAGACUGUACUGUGACUUACACGUUUCCUAUCAGUGACUUCCAGGCAACCUCUCUCCAGCUUUGGCAUGACCUAAGGGUCUCUUUUCUCUCCGCUCUGACAGGUGUGCAGCAGGCGGCCACAGUGCACCCUGCAGGGUAGGAACUCUGUGUCCCGCCAGCCAGGAGAGAGCUGGUCAACCUUCAGAUGACGGCUGCAAUUCCUCUUGGUGCUGCUUGUCAGACACACGUGCUGAGCUGCUCUGACCUCCAGCUCCUCUUGUUCUCUCCUCCAUCCAGGCCCUGAAGCUGAUCACCACCAUCUGCUACUUCCUCCUCCUCGUUCUCAGGGUGGACCCUCUGCUGGGUCAGCAUAUGCUGCCAAGGAGUCCACUGGGCCAUGUCAGGAACCAGGACUGGAUGCAUCUGGGUAGGAGGAUAAGGAGUGGGACACAACUUAGUGACUGAACAAUAACAGGAGGGUAAAUCUGGUUCCUCUUCCUCCAUCUCCGGCGAAGCAGAAAUUCCACAUUGUUGUUUUAAUGUGGAUUCUGUAGGCUUCAUGUUGGACUCAAAGUGUAAUCCUUUCAAGAGAGUCUCUGUUGUGGACUGGAGGAAUGAAAACAUCAAGGCUAUCGAGGGCCCUCCCCCCACUCAGCCCUGGGAAGCCACAAGUCAGAGCUUGUGGAGUGGCGAGGAGGGAGCAGAAGAACAGAACACAGGCUCUGCUUCAAGAUCUCCUGGAAAAGGCAAUGGCACCCCACUCCAGUACUCUUGUCUGGAAAAUCCCAUGGAUGGAGGAGCCUGGGGCUUCAGUCCAUGGAGUCGCAAAGAGUCAAGACAUGAUUGAGCGACUUUACUUUCUUUCUUUCUGCUUCUUCCCUCAGGCCUCCAUGACUGUGAUGGGCCUGACCAUGAAAUCGUAAAUUAAAGCAGAUUUUUGCAGUUUUAAUAUUACAACCCUGGACUUAUAUUUAUUUAUUGGAGUCUGGGCUUCUCCAGUGACUCAGCAGUUAAGAAUGCACCUGCAGUGCCGGAGAUGCAGGACACGGGGGUUCGAUCCCUGGGUCAGGAAGAUCCUCCGGAGGAGGAAAUGGCAACCCACUCCAGUAUUCUUGCCUGGGGAAUUCCAUGGACAGAGGAGCCUGGUGGGCUACAGUCCAUGGGGUCUCAAAGAGUCGGACAUGACUGAACAACUAAGCACCAACAAUGAUAAUUUCUUUACAAUGUUUUGUUAGUUUCUGCUGUACAUCAACGUGAAUCAGUCAUAUGUAUACACAUAUCCCCUUGAGCCUCCCUCCUGCCCACCCCUUCCCCAUCCCACCCCUUUAGGUCAUCAUAGAGGACUGAGCUGAGCUCCCUAGCACUGGGAGCUUUCUAAUGUGAUUUUUAUCUGAGAGUUAACAAAAAACAUUAUGAGACUGUUGGAUAUUCAUUUAGG
ensembl:lncRNA